AAUUCAAAGCCAUGAAUAUAUUUGUAAUAUGAAUUGAUUACCUUCAGUUGUGAUUUCUGAGUUGUGAUUUAAUUUGCUUAACUGCUUGAUUGAUAACUUAUUUUUGUAUGUCGAUUAAGGAUGCAUACUUAAUUUACAUGCAUGAAUUUGAUGCUAGAAUAUAAGUGAGUUUCACCUAAUCGUUAUGAACUUAUAUUCACAAGUAGUGAAGGUUGCUAGUCACAAUCACGUUAAGUAAAUUCUUGGCAUAAGUUUCAUGCAAAUCAUAGUAACGAGUGCCUCGUCAAUGCUUAUGUUUUUCAUAGAACUUAAUGAUUCUUGCUUGUAUCUCUAUUAUGCAAUUCAUGUAGGGAACUUGUAGGGAAUGUUUUGGGUUGUCGUAUGCAAUCAUCCAACCCAAUAACUUGUGGAAAAACUGAAGGUUAAUUAGUGCAAUUCACGGUUAAUUGGGGCGUUGAGAUUUACAAUUUAUUGAAAGAACAACUGAAAAAUCAAUUUAGGUUGCAUAUGUGUCAUGUGUGGAGAAGAACCCUCUAGCUAGUCCGUCACCUAUCCUUUCACCUUAAUUUCAUGCUUUUGUCAAUUCUGUAAUUUAUUUAAGUUUAAUUUACUUCUCGUUAAAACCAAACUACCCCCCAUUAUUAAAUUAUAUUAUUUAGUUAGUUUUCAUUGUUGUUAGUCUUUUAAUUCAAUUUCCGUCCAUUUCAGUUCCUAGUGUCUAAAUUGAUUGUUUUCAUUAUGUUGAGUCAUUCUAAGUGUGUUUCGAGUUAUUAGAGUUUUUAGCCUAGUUUUGUGUCCUUGAGUCUUGUUUAAUAUUUUUAAAUUAAUUUAGAAUAGAUUAGCAAUCCCUCCUAAUCCCCGGCCUAGAACGAUACCCUACUUACAUCUAUACUACAAUUGUCAAAAAGAGGGUUUAAUUUGUGUGUCAAGUAAUUUUCGCAUCAAAUUUUGGCGCCGUUGCCGGGGAUUAGCAACUUUGCUAAUCCCUUUAUUUGUGUUUUUGUUUAUGUUUAUAUUGGUGUUUUGUGUAUUUUACUUUUGAUAUUUGAUUUAUUUUUCUUUCUUUGAUUUUAGGUACAAAUGGAGCGAGACAUGGCACUUGCGACCAUUCAAGCUCAAUUGGCACAGCUCACUGCUCAAUUGACUCAUAAUGCCGAACGGACCACAAUGCCAAGUGUCCCUACACUUGAUGUGCCCUAUGGGCAAGGAUAUCAAAGUCCUCAUUUUCUGCCAAUGAAGAUGUUUGGGGAUAUCAAGGUUAUAACCAAUCAAGGGGCAACAUGUUUUCCAACGCUUGCAAUUCAGAUUGGAGAGGUAAUUCAUAUUAUAUGUGGGAUGAACCUCAACAAUUUCAACAAGGUGGAUAUUGGCAGCAAGACGAGUUCUAUUCAAGACCUAUGCAGCCACCACAGCAUCCCCCACAACAAUUCCAAUCAAAUCAAAGUAUGCCCAUGAAUUAUAAUGAAAUUCUUGAAGGACUAAUUUCUGUGGCGCAGGGUUUACGAAAAGAAGAACAAUUGCCGCCAUCGGAAGAGUUCUAUCAGUGACCAUAUGAACCGUCACAGCCACCACAACAAUCAACCCAAUUCAAUUCAGGUACAUCCUUGGAUAAUGAUACACUUAAUAAGUUACUCACCUCUUUGAAUCAGGGAGUAGAAAAUCAAAACCAGGAGAUGCAAGACCGAGUCAAAAGAUUGGACGAAUUGGAUAUGCAAGUUGGGCAGAUUGUGGAAUUCAUGGCACAGAUUCGAGAUCAAAGUGAACUUUCCAACUCAAACAUUGCAAAUUCAAAGGCAGAAAGUGAAAUCAAUGAAGCCAUCACUUUGGAAGGUGACAUGAAGGAUGAAGCUAUCCCAGAACCAUCCAAACACAGCCCGAACAUGGAUGAAUUGCUGCUGCAAGCAGAAGAGGAGGAGGACGACCUGGGCAGUUUAGAAGAAUUCUUGCUGCAAGCUCCUCAAAUCCCUAUGUCAUCCAACUCAGGUGAGGAAGUUCUAAAUUCACUUCAUUCUAACAUUAUUCCACCGAAUGUCCUUUGUCCUUGCAGGUUUUUUAUUCCAAAUAUCAAAGAGAGUGAAAAAGACAUUGUGGAAGCUCUUCCAAAAGUGCAAAGUGAUAUCCCAAUUCUUGGUGCACCAAAACAAGUUCCCGAUGAUAUUGAAACGUUCAAAGAACCUUGCACACCAAGAAAAGGGAUUCUAGAGAAUGAAGUGGUUGAAGCAUAUCAAGAGUACAUCCAAGAGGUUGUGCAUGAGACAAUCAAGCCCAAAGCAGUUGAGUUUGAUGACACGGGACAAGCCACAACCAUCAUAGUAAACCUGGCCAAGUUCAAAGUCCCGGAAAUGUUCAAAAAUGUGGUGUUUGUCAUUGAGUUUGUGUCGGAAAAAGAAAGUAAGUCAUCUUCUCCAAUUUUAAUUUUAAUUUAUACUAACAUGUUUCUGAUUUUGAUGAUUCAGGCACCCACUCUUGAAUUUAAACCAUUGCCGAAUCAUUUCAAGUAUCACCUCCCAUUAAAAGAUAAAUUCCAUGCUUUGGAGCCGAGGGGAAUUUAAAGGAAAGAUUCAUCCCGCUAAAGACGUUAAAUCAAGCGCUUCUUGGGAGGCAACCCAAGCAUUCAACGAAGGGAGACUUUGGAAUCGCUAACCAAAUCAGAUUUGAAUUCUUACACCCUUAUCUUUACUGCUUUCAUUUUGUUUUGUUUAGUUAGUUGUGUUAUUUGGUUGAUUUAUGUGAGUUUGUGUUAUUUAGUUUAAGUGUGGGGGAAGGUUAACCAAAGUCUUUUUACAUUGAUUUACAUAUUUUACAUUGAUUUUAAAAAAAAAAAAAAAAAAAAAAAAACAAAAAAAAAACAUAAAAGUAAAAAUAUUUUACAAUGAUGUGUAAACUAAUAAACAUUCAUUGGUCAGGUGGUGCUUCAGUAGUCGGCGGAGCCUCAACAGUCGGCGGGGCCACGGAAGGAUGAGGUAUCGGAGGUUGAUCAGUUGGAGCUUCACUACACGGUGCCGCCCCAGAAGACGAAGGCAGAUACGGUUGGAACAAACCCACAAACCUCCGGUGAUCAAGUAAAAUCUGACCAUCAUUUUCCUGCAGCUGGUCAAUUUUCCUCUUCAUGUUUGUGGCAUAAUUGUGUGCAAGCUUGUGCAAUUGUUUAUUUUCAUGCUUGAGUCCUCUAAUCUCCUCUUUGAGACUCUGUAUUUCAGCCACCAACGAUUCAACGUGACGGGUUCGAGCAAAUAGGCGUUGGGCCAUGUUGGACACAGAACCCGCAACUGCACGCUAAGAGCCAGAGACUCCUUAACCGCCAAUUCAUCAGAUCGUCUAGCGAGCAGUCUGUUAUCUCUGGGGGUGACAAGGUUCCGGGCCACCACCGCAGCGAUCAUGUCAUUUUUCAUCACCGAAUCCCCAACGGUAAGAGGACCAGUAGGGGAUAUGAAAGAUGGACGCCAUAUGUUGUCUGGUGAAGGCGGGGCUGCCUCUUCACCACGGUUCAAGUCAAAACGGCGAUCGGAAGGGCCAGACAUUUUCUGAAGGUGUUGAGAAAGAAGAGAUCGGACAGAUUAAGAUUUCGGAAGUGCAAGAAGGGAGAGUUUACAGGAGGGAGCUCAAGUGUGUUGUGGAACAAAAUUAACGCCUCUAUAAAAAGAAGAAAUCAAAGAGGCGCUCCUCAGAAAUUGAAGAGGCGUCAUCUUGCAAAUCGAAGAGUCGGGGCUCCGUUCUCAAACGCCUGAUUCUUUUCUCAAAAGAGGAGUUUCCUUUCUCAAAAGCCGGAUUCUUUUCUCAAAAGAGGCGUUUCAUUUCUUAAAGGAUGGGCUUGCUCAGAAACCACGAGCCGAACCCCAGAUUUCAAAAAAAUCAAUUUGUCCAGACGUGUCGUCACUCGUCACAUGCAACGUGCAGCUUUGCGGAAAUUACGGGCAGCUUUGUCAGAAAGCGCGUAAUUUGUACUAUUCAUCCAUCCACCGGCUGCCGACAAUGAGUGAGGGAAUAGUUCCGGUUGUGAAGAAAAGUCCCAUAAGUAUCUACCUUCGCCUUCCACAGCAAAGGCACACCCUCUCAGCACUUCUUCCUCUCUGAAAUGGCUUUCCAACAAACCCUCUCAAGUCACUCUGUAUUUUUCAUCCCCUGGGAUACCCCUGCAAACAACCCAUCCAAAGCAAAAGUAUUUCAUAUCAUGAAGGUUGAAAGCAAGAGUAUCUCAUAUCAUGCUUUCUCCCUGUCCUUUCUCCAGCCAGCCCUUGCUCUCGAGUACUCAUCAUCUUAUGUUUUCGCUUUGUUUCUCACUUAUAAGGGAAGUGAAGAUGAUACCUCGAAGCAUGUGGAGACAACGUGCUGAUUCAUACUCAACUAAGGACAAGGAGAAAGAGAGCAAGAGGUGGGCACUUGGAAAGAUUGAAGAAAGAAACAGACCAACACCUCCCCCUCGUGCCUGCCCGUUGUGCAGAAGAAACAAGCAGAGAAGAAUGCAGCUUGCACAAUCAUCCCAGCGGAAGGAGUCUGAGAUGAAGAACUAGAGAAGCUGCCACAUCUGCUUGGAGAACAAAUAAGGAACAACAACAUCGCCAAAGAGCAAAGCCUCGCCGUACAAUAUCAUCAAAUCAUCACUUGCAAGUAAAAAGCUAAGUGUCACCCCGUUCAAGAGGAAAGCUGUGGAAAGUCAACAAGCACAACCAAUGAUCACUUAUUAGUUCUAUUCAUUGUCUUUUAUCGUGAUUUUCAAUUUUUCGUUUGCAAUUUUUUUUUUAAUUUUCUUGCAUUACUUAACUGAAUUAUUUCUUUUCUUUGUAGGAACUUUUGGCUAUUUCCACCCUUGAAGUUGAUUGCAGAAUUUUAGCUUGGGGGGUCAUCACUUGGUUUUACUGCAAACUAGGGAAGUUUUCAGUCCAAUUGCGUUAUUUUGUUUCUUAUUAUUUAUUUAUUUAUUUUAUUUUUAUUUGCAUUAUAGUGUUUUCUGACAUUGGGGACAAUGUCCGGUUUAAGUUUGGGGGUAAAGAGUAUAAAAAAAUGACCAAAUUGAAAUUUUUUGUACCUUCAACUACGAACGGGUUUCAUUUGUUUCCGUGUUGUUGUUUUUUGGUUUUCUUUAAAAAAAUUAAAAAAAAAAAUUAAAAAAAAUCGGAAAAUUUAAAAAUCCAAAAAUAUUGUCUUGUUUCCCUUAUUGUUUUGAAUUAGAUUUUUGUUAGUUUCCCGACCCAAUGAUAUAAUUGGAUCAAAUUUGAACCAUGAUCAUCAAGAACUUAGUUAACAUGUGUUUUGUGAAAUUCCUAAUUCUCUUGUUAGUUUUGUACGUGUUUGACCAUCUUUGAAAAACCAAAUGCACAUAGCCUUGUUAAUGUGAAACUAAAGCAUGACUUAAAGCUUCAUAUGUGAAUUUAGUGACCAUAUACAUCCUAUGUGAGUUUUUUUUGAGCCUAUUGAAAGUGUGUGCAUUUUUCAUACACUCCUAUUUUUUUUCAUGUGUGAUGAACUUAUGUGAGAUACAUCUCUAGAACUUGCGUAACGAUCUUUCGAAAUGUUUGUCAUUGAUUGCAUGAACUUGGAAAUGAUAGAGGCAUUAGGUUUACCACUAUGGCCCAAAUAACCAUGUUUCCCAAAUAAAAAUGAUAUCAUUAGAUUGCCAAUUUGAGCCGUGUAUGUUGAGCCUUUUAUUUCUUAUCACCAGAUAUGUCUACCCUUAUACCUGAAACAUUUUUUUUCCUUACCCUUUCCAAGCAAGCUAGUGAGCAAUGUGAGAUUGUCUUAUGAGAAAUGUUUGUGAAGUACUUUGAAGGUGUUUGGCAAAAGAAUAAGUGUGGGGGUAUUUCAUGUUUGUAUUUAGUUAAUGUUUGUAAAAAAAAAAAAAAAAAAAAAAAAAAAAAAAAAAAAUUGUAUACUAAGAAAAUAAAAAUAAAAUAUUUCAAGUUUCAGUUAAGGGUGUGGUUGGAGGUGCUAAAAGAAUCGUUGGAAAGAUUGAGUUCUUAUAAAUCUAAAGAAAAGAAUUGCUUGCAAUGUAGCUUGGAACUUGUGUUUACCUAUUCUUUCAUUUCAAUAACCCUCUCCCUAAACCUCAUUACAUCCAAUAAAAGUCCUCUUGAUUUAAGUUUUGCAAUUAUGAUUGUGAAGAUGAGAUCUUUAUGCAAGCUUAUGGUAGAACUUUCACAUUUGAUUCUUUGAGCAAAACACAUUAAAACUAAACACAUGUGUGAUUAAGUGCAUAUCCCGUGAGAAGGUCGCUAGUUUGCAUAUGAUGAUUUUAAAAAAAUAAAAAACUUGAAAUUGCAUUAGCAUGGCUAUCUCACACACUACACUUCAAGGAUGAUUUAAAAGAUUACUGCUAAUAUUUGAAUUAGGAAGAUGAACUUGGAUUAGUUCCUUGAUGCUAGCUAUGGUUCUUGAUGAUUUGUGUUCUCGAAUGAAAUUCUAUGAGGGUCACAUAGGGGGAAGCUAAUGUUUUCUUUUUUUUUUUUUUUUUUUAUAAGAAAACAAAACUAAUUAAGAAAACAAAAAGCAACAACAUGGAAACACAUGAAACUCGUUCGUAGUUGAAGGUACAAAAAAUUUCAAUUUGGUCAUUUUUUUCUUCUUGUUUUCUUUGUUUUGCUCGAGGACUAGCAAAAGUUAAGUGUGGGGGUAUUUGAUCGGAUCAUAUUUAUAUAUAUUUUACUACUUCGAAUUCACUCGUCUUUCUAUUAGUUAGCCUUACUUAUUUUUUGAGCUAUUUACGUUAUUUUGUGUUUAUACGAUUGUUAUGCAAAGAAAAUAAAAAUAGAACAAGUGAAAUUUUAUGUAAUAAAUUCAUCAAAAGCAAAUUUAAAUUAUAAUAUUGCUAACCCAUUGUGACGCUAAAUGAUAAACCAAUAUUUAAACUAUAUAUUUCAUCAUUUUAUAUUUCUUUUCUUGUCUAAUUUAGUUGGAAGCUUUAAGUAUUUAUGAUACUUUUGAUAUAUUGUGUUUGUAGGAGUAACAUGAUCGAAAGAACUUAUUUUUCUGCUAUAUGGGGCUGCUAGAAACUAAAUGAAAAUAAAAGGAGACAGCUAAGGGGAAUAAAAGAAAGCUGCCUUUGCAGCUGGCGAGAAAAGAAGAAGUAGAAAAUAAACGGACUGGUCAGCGGGGAAGAAAGGGAAAAGCACUGAGCAAUUAAAGAAAGAGUAGAGGCUUCACUCCAUUUCUCUCGGUUAAAUCUUUCCAAACUUAUAUUUUAUUUCUGUUUUAAUAAUGUGUAACUAAUUUUAUUUUGGCUAGAGGUUAAUUCAAAGCCAUGAAUAUAUUUGUAAUGAAUUGAUUACCUUCAGUUGUGAUUUCUGAGUUGUGAUUUAAUUUGCUUAACUGCUUGAUUGAUAACUUAUUUUUGUAUGUUGAUUAAGGAUGCAUUACUUAAUUUACAUCAUGAAUUUUGAUGCUAGAAUAUAAGUGAGUUUCACCUAAUCGUUAUGAACUUAUAUUCACAAGUAGUGAAGGUUGCUAGUCACAAUCACGUUAAGUAAAUUCUUGGCAUAAGUUUCAUGCAAAUCAUAGUAACGAGUGCCUCGUCAAUGCUUAUGUUUUUCAUAGAACUUAAUGAUUCUUGCUUGUAUCUCUAUUAUGCAAUUCAUGUAGGGAACUUGUAGGGAAUGUUUUGGGUUGUCGUAUGCAAUCAUCCAACCCAAUAACUUGUGGAAAAACUGAAGGUUAAUUAGUGCAAUUCACGGUUAAUUUGGGGCGUUGAGAUUUACAAUUUAUUGAAAGAACAACUGAAAAAUCAAUUUAGGUUGCAUAUGUGUCAUGUGUGGAGAAGAUGUUGGAAAUGUGCCCAAAAGCCAAUCAUGUGAUGAUACUUUACGGACAUUUCACAUGUUAAACUAAUC
rnacentral:lncRNA from 1 species